rnacentral:tRNA from 1 species
UCCCUGGUGGUCCAGUGGCUAAGGCUCCGAACUCGCAAUGCAGGGAGCCCAGGUUUAAUCCCUGGUCAGGGAA